ensembl:misc_RNA Metazoa_SRP Metazoan signal recognition particle RNA
CCUGCCAUGGUGGCGUAUGCCUGUAAUCCCAGCACUUUGGAAGGCCGAGGCUAUAGUGUACUAUGUCGAUUGUGUAUCUGCAGCAAGUUUGGCCUCAAUAUGACCUCCCAGGAGUGGAGGACCCCCAGAUUGCCUAAGGAGGGGUGAACAGGCCCAGGUUGAAAACGGAGGUCAAAACUUCCAUGCUGAGGCCGUGCGUGGUGGCUCACGCUUGUAAUCCCAGCACUUUGAGACACUGCACUCUAGCCUGGGU